rnacentral:misc_RNA from 1 species
GAUGAAGAACGUAGCGAAAUGCGAUACGUAAUGUGAAUUGCAGAAUUCAGUGAAUCAUCGAGUCUUUGAACGCACAUUGCGCCCCCUGGUAUUCCGGGGGGCAUGCCUGUCCGAGCGUCAUUGCUGCCCUCAAGCACGGCUUGUGUGUUGGGCCUCCGUCCUCCUCCCGGGGGACGGACCCGAAAGGCAGCGGCGGCACCGCGUCCGGUCCUCGAGCGUAUGGGGCUUCGUCACCCGCUCUUGUAGGCCCGGCCGGCGCUUGCCGACACAUCAAUCUUUUUUCCAGGUUGACCUCGGAUCAGGUAGGGAUACCCGCUGAACUUAAGCAUAUCAUAAGCGGAGGA